CCUACGGGUGGCAGCAGUGGGGAAUAUUGCGCAAUGGGCGCAAGCCUGAUGCAGCCAUGCCGCGUGUGUGAAGAAGGCCUUCGGGUUGUAAAGCACUUUCAGCGGGGAGGAAGGCGGUGAGGUUAAUAACCUCAUCGACUGACGUUACCCGCAGAAGAAGCACCGGCUAACUCCGUGCCAGCAGCCGCGGUAAUACGGAGGGUGCAAGCGUUAAUCGGAAUCACUGGGCGUAAAGCGCACGCAGGCGGUCUGUCAAGUCGGAUGUGAAAUCCCCGGGCUCAACCUGGGAACUGCAUUCGAAACUGGCAGGCUAGAGUCUUGUAGAGGGGGGUAGAAUUCCAGGUGUAGCGGUGAAAUGCGUAGAGCUCUGGAGGAAUACCGGUGGCGAAGGCGGCCCCCUGGACAAAGACUGACGCUCAGGUGUGAAAGCGUGGGGAGCAAACAGGAUUAGAUACCCCAGUAGUC
rnacentral:rRNA from 1 species